GAUGAAGAACGUAGCGAAAUGCGAUACGUAAUGUGAAUUGCAAAUUCAGUGAAUCAUCGAGUCUUUGAACGCACAUUGCGCCCCCUGGUAUUCCGGGGGGCAUGCCUAUCCGAGCGUCAUUGCUGCCCUCAAGCACGGCUUGUGUGUUGGGCCCCGUCCUCCGAUCCCGGGGGACGGGCCCGAAAGGCAGCGGCGGCACCGCGUCCGGUCCUCGAGCGUAUGGGGCUUUGUCACCCGCUCUGUAGGCCCGGCCGGCGCUUGCCGAUCAACCCAAAUUUUUUAUCCAGGUUGACCUCGGAUCAGGUAGGGAUACCCGCUGAACUUAAGCAUAUCAAUAAGCGGAGGA
rnacentral:misc_RNA from 1 species